AACGAACGCUGGCGGCAGGCCUAACACAUGCAAGUCGAGCGGACCCUUCGGGGUUAGCGGCGGACGGGUGAGUAACGCGUGGGAACUUGCCCUUUGCUUCGGAAUAGCCCUGGGAAACUGGGAGUAAUACCGGAUACGCCCUUUUGGGGAAAGAUUUAUCGGCGAAGGAUCGGCCCGCGUUGGAUUAGGUAGUUGGUGGGGUAAUGGCCUACCAAGCCGACGAUCCAUAGCUGGUUUGAGAGGAUGAUCAGCCACACUGGGACUGAGACACGGCCCAGACUCCUACGGGAGGCAGCAGUGGGGAAUCUUAGACAAUGGGGGAAACCCUGAUCUAGCCAUGCCGCGUGAGCGAUGAAGGCCUUAGGGUUGUAAAGCUCUUUCACCGGGGAAGAUAAUGACGGUACCCGGAGAAGAAGCCCCGGCUAACUCCGUG
rnacentral:rRNA from 1 species